CUUCACCCUGAGUUGGAGAAGGGGACUAUCCAGGUGUGAUAACACAAACAUAAAAAAGGUAAGAAAUAUGUAUAUUAUCAGUUAGAAAUUGUGAGAACAAAAAUUUGAUUUUAAGUCAGAACAAGCUACAGAUCUAGCAAAGCUAAAACACAUAACUUUCAGUAAAAUGUUGAUUCAGACAUUUCAAGAAAGAGAAAUUACUGUCCCUAAGUUUUAGAAGAUCCUAGUAUAGUGAGUUACCUUUCCAGGAAAUUACUCUGUUUAAUUGUGUGCCUUUCAGUAGUUAUACCAAGUGGAUUUUAGUCUUGUUCAUUAAUUCGUUCAGCUUCAGUGAACAAAUCAACUGCAUUUUAAUCAAAGCCCAAAGGCAUUGCUCCGUCCAGAAUUUACCUAUUAAGUUUUAUUCAUUGAAUAAGAUUUCCCAGGCAAAUCCCAGAUUGAUCAACUUGUUCGGGUGCAGUUUUAAAGGCAUUCAAUUUGCUCAAAAUCUUUAAUACACAAGACUAUUGGAAAGAUAUCUAUGGACAAAUAAUCUAGUGCUUUGGUCCUCUUUGAACCAUAUUUAAUUAAGUACCUAUAAAAACGAGUGGUAGUUAACAGGCGCAUGCACCCUAUUAACAUAUAUGUGUUACACAAAUAUAUAAUGAAUACAAUGCUAUAUUUUUAGACACAAACUUCUAUGAAAGAACAAUCAUAAAUGGCCUGUGAACCAUUGUGUCACUGAAUGCUCCAUUUGUUAUUUAGUUUAGGUGAUGAUAAAAUGACAAUGCCACAUCUGCAUAAGCCGUGUAACACCAAAUUGGAAAGCUCUUAAUUUUCAUUUUUAAUUACCUUCUUUCUACAGCAAUUAUGGAGAAUUUCAACAUUCUGUGGGGGAUGGUGUUCUUAACUCUUUGUAUUAACCAGUGCCAUUCACAAGGUGAGUAUAUGUUAUUUUACCAAGUACUUAUACAAUGUCAGUAGAUACUAGUAUAAUGGGCAAUAACCACUUUAGGUAAGUAUGUGUUUUAAUUCACAUCUGUAUGUUUAUUCCUAUACAGCAGUUGCUGUUUGCUGCUACUCCCCAUACGUUUACCCAUCUCCUUUUAGAGGAAUACUGGAUGAACACCUCUCACACACAUUAUGGUAUAAAAGAAAAAGGCCUUCUCAGUUAUAUAUACUGUGAAUUAAAACACAUACUUACCUAAAGUGGUUAUUGCCCAUUAUACUAGUAUCUACUGACAUAUAUAUUUCCCCGCCUUCCAUUUCAUCAUAACUCUACUGAAUACUCCCUGCCAAACUCAUCCCCAAAUGAUAUCAGCAUAUGUUGUCUCACUGUUAAUUUAUAGAUAACAUGUCUAAAUUAAGUAAUUGAUAAGUGACUUAAAAAAAAAAAAAAGUAUCCAAAGCAGUUUUAAUUUCUUUAAGGUUAAACCACCUCAACCUCCAUAAGACUUAUGGUAGUAGACAGGGAAAUCUACAAUUUAGUGGGUUAUUUUCAUUUAGCAGAUAGCUAGAGAAUUUCUGACUUACGACUUGGGGAUUGAGCAUUGCCUGGGUCUCUUUCAAUAGAGUUCUUUUUGAUCUUAUUAGUGUUUCUUCAAUAAAAGGUCCUUCUUUUGAAAAAAAAAAAAAAGUAAUGCACAUUUGGUGUUAGAAGUACAGUAACAAAUCAAAUCAUGUUAUCUGUUCUCAUCAACCUAGGAUUUUUUUUCUGUGGGGGAACAGCUUUUUACUAAGACAAUCUGGGGCUUCCUUAGAGAGCAUACUUAAAGGGACACUCCUGCCCAAAUAUCAAAUAAAUAAAAUCACUGUUUAGUAGAUAUUUAAAGUUUUUAUAAAAAUGUUAACAUGUCAUAAACUUGUAAACAAAUGUAAUAGCAAUAAUAGGAAAAAAAAAAAAAGGGACAGUGGAAGGGGGGAAAUAACAUGCAUGUUAAAUAUACAUACCUUAACAUUUGAAAUGCCUAAACAUAUUUUAAUGAUAUGCAGUAUUGCAUCCACAAUGACCUUUACCCGUAAACAAACAUAUAACCAAUAAUUAUUUUUUAAUUAAUAUGAAAAAAUAAACAUUUCAACUUCUUGACAAUAAUUUAUCUAUACAAUGUUCCUUUUCCAAGUUUGUCCUAAUUGAGCAUAAAGAGAUGAUUUCCAGUGGCUAGCUCAUAAUUUUUUUUUUCAAUAGACAUAGAAAGGAUUUCCCUCUCGUAGGGGUAUUUCAGCAUUGCGGUAACACAGAAGUUGCUGCUAUUAAAAGAACACUCCACUACCCAAAUACAAAUAAAUAAAAAUCAAUGUUUCAUUGGAGUUAUAUCUAAAUACAGCUUGCAAAAAAUGCAGAUCUCUUGUCUUCUGCCUUUGUAAACCCUCCCCUUCCAACCCCACCCAGACUUUCUCUGGGUGUCCAAUCAAACUUGCCAAUACAGCUCAGUGAGAAGUCUUUGCAAGGCAGGUGCUCUCAGUAAUUGCUGCCUUUUGUGUUCAGUGCAAAUAAACUAACCAAACCAGGAGCUGUUUUCUGUUUGAAAAUGCAGGGCAGUAUAAUUUAUAAAAAGUGUCAGUUUCUAUUUAAAAUCUGCAAUUUUUCCCAAAAUGAAAAAAAAAAAAAAGAGAACACACUAGUCACACAUAAAAGCUUCCAGCAAGCUGAAGUGUUUUAUUGGUUUGUAGUGUCCCGUUAAAAUAUGCAAGAUUACAUUUUUCCUGAUUUACUAAAUCAUCUCAGAACCAAUUUAAAUAAAGGAUAGUAUUCAACAAGAGAGCCACAAUUUGAAUAGAUGUGCGAACAUCUUUCCAGAAAGAUUUUCCCUUGUGCAUACCCACCAUGUUACCCAGUCCUCCACAGUAUCUCCAGCAAUUAUUGGAAGCAUCUGGGUACAUUUGCUGUAAUCUGGCUGGAAUUGAUACCAUCUACAUAUAAUUUUAACAUUUCUGGCAAAGCUGCUUAGACAUGUCAGUUAGUGAAUUGGAUUUUGACAUAAAAUGCAGUGCAACCAGAAUGUUUACAAGGGUCAAUUAAUACAUUGACAUAAAAAAUCUUGUAUUUUUGUUAUUCACUCAUUAUGUUUUCUUGACCACCUGUAUGCAAGACCAAUUCAGCACACAUAUAAGCAAUAUAUAUGCUUCAAUGUGAUCAAAGUUCCAGUUUAACUCUUCAAAUUCAGUGUGUCAACACUUGUACUGUAUCUACUCUUAAAGUAAAUUUGAUCUACACACACCUUCCACUGCACUAAUCAUUGUGUUUUCUAUUUUAUUUUUCAGCCCUUAGUAAGUAUCCAACUUUCAAGAUUCAGUGAUACUGGUUUGUUGCUCUUAUUUUGAAAAAAGUGC